rnacentral:misc_RNA from 1 species
AACGCACGAGACCUGCGGACCUGCGGAGGGAUCAUUACCGAGUGUUUCUACUCUAAACCCACUGUGAACCUUACCACUGUCGUUGCUUCGGCGGGCGUCCGCGCCCGCCGGCAGCACCCAAACUCUUGAUUUUUAGCAUGCCUCUCUGAGUACUAAAGACAAAACAAUCAAAACUUUCAGCAAUGGAUCUCU